ensembl:lncRNA
GGCGCGAAGACGGCAGCGCGCCGGCGCGAGAGCACGUACGGUGGACGCCUGACGCUGGCCCCCGCCUGUACGCACGGCUUCUGGCGGAGCUUUUGGCUCUGGUUCAAAGUGGGGGCGCGGAUCUCUGAGCUCUCACUCCAGAACGGCAGUGGCCAUGGAGUUUCUGGGCAGAGUUGCCAGGCUUGCAGAUGAUCCCCAGAGGAAUGACUUAGUCUAGCUGAUAUUAUUCAAGGCGAAGAGACUGCCACCUUCUUUCUGCCUUGGAAGAGACCUGAGCUGGGGCAAACUGAAUGAAGCUUCCCAAAGCAAGAGUGUGGAAGGAGAAUGCCUAUUCCAGUGUGAAAUGUCCUGAAGUUCCUGGAACCCAACUGCUGCACUACGAGGAAGCCCACGCAGUCCUGCAGAGGCCCACAUGGAGAACCUCGUGCAUAGAGCACCCAAGGUACCCAGCCAACAGCCCCAGUGGAGUGUGCAGUGGAGCUAGUGCAACUUGCCAGCUAAGUAAAUGAGCCAUGUUGGAAGUGGAUUCUGCCCCAGUUAAGCUGCCCCCAGCUGAUGCUAUGGUGUACAAAACAUGCCAUUCCAAUAAAGCCCCCGGCAAACUACAGGAAAAAAAAAAAAAGAUUAUUAUUGCGACCUCCAUCCCACACCCUCAUCCCACCCAUCUCGGUCAUCAGAGAGCACCGAGCUGAGCUCUCUGCUACCUUACAGAGCUUCCCACCAGCCAACUAUUUUACACAUUAUAUGUCAGCGCUGCUUUCUCAAUUUGUCCCACUCUAUUCUUCCCCUCUGUGUCCAUAACCCAUUCUCUACUCCUGCCCUGCCAAUGGAUUCAUCUGUACCAUUUUUUGAGAUUCCGCAUCUAGGCAUUAAUAUAUGAUGUUUGUUUUUCCCUUCUGGUCUUACUCUACUCUGUGUGGCAAACUCUAGGUUCAUCCUCAUCCCUACAAAUGACCCAAUUUCGUUC